rnacentral:lncRNA from 1 species
GAUGCCGUUCCAUUGUUUGCUGACUUUCAUUGAUUCUAUGAGAAGUCUGCAGUCUUUUGCAGCGUUGUUUUCCUAUGUAUAAUUGUCUCCUCCCACCCCACUCACCCCAGCUGCUUUCCACAUUCUCUCUCUUUGAUUUUCAGCAGUCUGCCCAUGAUGUGCCUAAAUAGGACUUUCUUUGCAUUCAUCUUGGCUGGGGCUCACUGAACUUUCUGAAUCUGUAGAUUAAUUUUCUUUUUUCAAUAAACCUUGGA